UACGUAGGUGGCAAGCGUUGUCCGGAUUUAUUGGGCGUAAAGCGAGCGCAGGCGGUUUCUUAAGUCUGAUGUGAAAGCCCCCGGCUCAACCGGGGAAGAGCAUUGGAAACUGGGAGGCUUGAGUACAGAAGAGGAGAGUGGAAUUCCAUGUGUAGCGGUGAAAUGCGUAGAUAUAUGGAGGAACACCAGUGGCGAAGGCGACUCCCUGGUCUGAAACUGACGCUGAGGCUCGAAAGCGUGGGUAGCAAACAGG
rnacentral:rRNA from 1 species